UGGGGGAUAUUGCACAAUGGGGGAAACCCUGAUGCAGCGACGCCGCGUGGAGGAAGAAGGUUUUCGGAUUGUAAACUCCUGUCGUUAGGGACGAUAAUGACGGUACCUAACAAGAAAGCACCGGCUAACUACGUGCCAGCAGCCGCGGUAAAACGUAGGGUGCAAGCGUUGUCCGGAAUUACUGGGUGUAAAGGGAGCGCAGGCGGGAAGACAAGUUGGAAGUGAAAACCAUGGGCUCAACCCAUGAAUUGCUUUCAAAACUGUUUUUCUUGAGUAGUGCAGAGGUAGAUGGAAUUCCCGGUGUAGCGGUGGAAUGCGUAGAUAUCGGGAGGAACACCAGUGGCGAAGGCGGUCUACUGGGCACCAACUGACGCUGAGGCUCGAAAGCAUGGGUAGCAAACAGGAUUAGAUACCCUGGUAGUCCAUGCCGUAAACGAUGAUUACUAGGUGUUGGGGGAUUGACCCCCUCAGUGCCGCAGUUAACACAAUAAGUAAUCCACCUGGGGAGUACGACCGCAAGGUUGAAACUCAAAGGAAUUGACGGGGGCCCGCACAAGCAGUGGAGUAUGUGGUUUAAUUCGAAGCAACGCGAAGAACCUUACCAGGUCUUGACAUCCGAUGCAUAGCACAGAGAUGUGUGAAAUCCUUCGGGACAUCGAGACAGGUGGUGCAUGGUUGUCGUCAGCUCGUGUCGUGAGAUGUUGGGUUAAGUCCCGCAACGAGCGCAACCCUUAUGGUCAGUUACUACGCAAGAGGACUCUGGCCAGACUGCCGUUGACAAAACGGAGGAAGGUGGGGAUGACGUCAAAUCAUCAUGCCCUUUAUGACUUGGGCUACACACGUACUACAAUGGCGUUAAACAAAGAGAAGCAAGACCGCGAGGUGGAGCAAAACUCAGAAACAACGUCCCAGUUCGGACUGCAGGCUGCAACUCGCCUGCACGAAGUCGGAAUUGCUAGUAAUCGCGGAUCAGCAUGCCGCGGUGAAUACGUUCCC
rnacentral:rRNA from 1 species